GUUUUGCAUGAGGCUUAAUUGUUUUCAAACUUGGUCGAGUAUUGGGAUUGCUAUAAUAUUGCUUUUAAAAUUAAACACAAUAUAAAGACCCAAUCACAUUAUAAGUUGUUAAACUUAGUAGUUCAAACUUGCGAUUUUAUUAUUUAUGGAGUUUUUGUCCACGAGCAAGGUACACAGUAUCACUAACACCUGGAAGCACUCCGGAUUAAACAUUUUACUCGGAAUUAACAACGUCAAAAACAAAACAACUAUAAUAUAUUUAAAAAUAUUGCACGUGGGCGCGUAUACAACACAAUUUCAAAAACAUUGUAAGUC